UNCCAUGUGUAGCGGUGAAAUGCGUAGAUAUAUGGAGGAACACCNGUGGCGAAGGCGACUCUCUGGUCUGUAACUGACGNUGAGGCUCGAAAGCGUGGGUAGCAAACAGGAUUAGAUACCCUGGUAGUCCACGCCGUAAACGAUGAGUGCUAAGUGUUGGAGGGUUUCCGCCCUUCAGUGCUGCAGUUAACGCAUUAAGCACUCCGCCUGGGGAGUACGACCGCAAGGUUGAAACUCAAAGGAAUUGACGGGGACCCGCACAAGCGGUGGAGCAUGUGGUUUAAUUCGUAGCAACGCGAAGAACCUUACCAAGUCUUGACAUCCUUUGACCGCUCUAGAGAUAGAGCUUUCCCUUCGGGGACAAAGUGACAGGUGGUGCAUGGUUGUCGUCAGCUCGUGUCGUGAGAUGUUGGGUUAAGUCCCGCAACGAGCGCAACCCUUAUUACUAGUUGCCAGCAUUUAGUUGGGCACUCUAGUGAGACUGCCGGUGACAAACCGGAGGAAGGUGGGGAUGACGUCAAAUCAUCAUGCCCCUUAUGACUUGGGCUACACACGUGCUACAAUGGAUGGUACAACGAGCAGCGAACUCGCGAGGGUAAGCGAAUCUCUUAAAGCCAUUCUCAGUUCGGAUUGUAGGCUGCAACUCGCCUACAUAAAGCCGGAAUCGCUAGUAAUCGCGGAUCAGCACGCCGCGGUGAAUACGUUCCCGGGUCUUGUACACACCGCCCGUCACACCACGAGAGUUUGUAACACCCAAAGUCGGUGAGGUANCCUUU
rnacentral:rRNA from 1 species